rnacentral:rRNA from 1 species
CCGGCGCACGGGUGAGUAACACGUAUCCAACCUGCCGUCUACUCUUGGACAGCCUUCUGAAAGGAAGAUUAAUACAAGAUGGCAUCAUGAGUUCACAUGUUCACAUGAUUAAAGGUAUUCCGGUAGACGAUGGGGAUGCGUUCCAUUAGAUAGUAGGCGGGGUAACGGCCCACCUAGUCUUCGAUGGAUAGGGGUUCUGAGAGGAAGGUCCCCCACAUUGGAACUGAGACACGGUCCAAACUCCUACGGGAGGCAGCAGUGAGGAAUAUUGGUCAAUGGGCGAGAGCCUGAACCAGCCAAGUAGCGUGAAGGAUGACUGCCCUAUGGGUUGUAAACUUCUUUUAUAAAGGAAUAAAGUCGGGUAUGCAUACCCGUUUGCAUGUACUUUAUGAAUAAGGAUCGGCUAACUCCGUGCCAGCAGCCGCGGUAAUACGGAGGAUCCGAGCGUUAUCCGGAUUUAUUGGGUUUAAAGGGAGCGUAGAUGGAUGUUUAAGUCAGUUGUGAAAGUUUGCGGCUCAACCGUAAAAUUGCAGUUGAUACUGGAUAUCUUGAGUGCAGUUGAGGCAGGCGGAAUUCGUGGUGUAGCGGUGAAAUGCUUAGAUAUCACGAAGAACUCCGAUUG